UGGGGAAUUUUGGACAAUGGGCGAAAGCCUGAUCCAGCAAUGCCGCGUGUGUGAAGAAGGCCUUCGGGUUGUAAAGCACUUUUGUCCGGAAAGAGAUCCUUGGCUCUAAUACAGUCGGGGGAUGACGGUACCGGAAGAAUAAGCACCGGCUAACUACGUGCCAGCAGCCGCGGUAAUACGUAGGGUGCAAGCGUUAAUCGGAAUUACUGGGCGUAAAGCGUGCGCAGGCGGUUUGNUAAGACCGAUGUGAAAUCCCCGGGCUCAACCUGGGAACUGCAUUGGUGACUGGCAGGCUAGAGUAUGGCAGAGGGGGGUAGAAUUCCACGUGUAGCAGUGAAAUGCGUAGAGAUGUGGAGGAAUACCGAUGGCGAAGGCAGCCCCCUGGGCCAAUACUGACGCUCAUGCACGAAAGCGUGGGGAGCAAACAGGAUUAGAUACCCUGGUAGUCCACGCCCUAAACGAUGUCAACUAGUUGUUGGGGAUUCAUUUCCUUAGUAACGUAGCUAACGCGUGAAGUU
rnacentral:rRNA from 1 species